AUUUAUUUGUUCUUUCAACUUUCUCCCUUCAUCGUUCUCUACUUUGAUCGCUGCAAAUCUCUUUUUAUUUUCCCCCAUUCAUCUCAGGUAAGGCUACUUUCUAAUUGUUUCUUCGAUUUCCUCUAAUAUUUGAAUUUCCCCAAAACUUUGAUGGCUAUUUAUUCCUUCUUGUAUCUGUAAUCGUUAUUAUGUGCUUGGUCUAUCUUCUCAUUCUUCCUUUUAGUUGAAACCCUAACUCAUAUUGCCAUGGGUUAUAUUUACUAUUAUUUUGCUCUGAAUCUCUUUUUCUUGGCUAAAUUAGAAAUAAGUUGCUAGCUUUUUAUCUUCAGUUGAUGAACUUUGAUCUCAUUGUCUUUAUAGUUUUUAGAAAAUUAUUAUUUUAAUUUGUUGUAGAUGUUGCUUUUGCUUAGGAGAUCAUACUAAAUCGAAGCUUCUCAUGUUUAAAGCUAUAUUCCCUUUCAAAAUUUAGUUGCAGGUAUGUCUAUUGAAGCUGCAUUAGCUUUAUCUACCUUUGGAGAAUGACUUGAUUAAUUGAAGUGAUUGAAGGUUAAAAUCAUGGAGCAAAAAUAUUAUUUAUGUUUGUGUCUUAUCGGUAGUCAACCCUCUGAUGCUGCAAAUACUACCUUCAGUUUUAUUUUACCUAAUUCUGAUCAUUUGGGUUAAAAAGAAAAAAAAGGAAAAAGUUAAUGUUGCACCUUGAAUUGCAGUAGAGUAUCAGGAUUCUUAGUUAGCAGGCUUCAACCUCCAACUUUUAUGGUUGAGUCGUAGUUUCAACUAUUUUAAAGGAGGAAUAUUGAUCUUUAUGGGAAGUGUCAAGUGUUGAAUGCAAUUUAUAUCUAAAAUAAAUUGUAACAAUAUCUAUAAUAAAGAAGAGUGACAGCAAAAAGCAACAUGAUUUUUAUUAUUAGAAAAUGGACAGACAAUGAACUUAUGCAUAUUUGGUUGUGAGAAUUAAUGGAAUAGGACAACAGAUAAUUCUUUAUUACUCUCCAUAAGAGAGCUUAUAAAUAUUUCAAAUAGUAGUUUUUCUUUAAUAUUUUGUCCUGUCGUGCGGUAGGAAUGAUUUCAGAAAAUUGUGUAGAGUAGUAGAGUUCCCUUAAUUUGUUUUUUUAAAAAAAAAUAUAAGAUAUAACUAGAUGGUAAUUUGCCAAAGUAUUAAAACGACUCCCUCUACGUGGAGUACGUUUUAAGAACUUUCUUGUCGUUUGCUUCAAUACAUUGUCUGUCAUUCAUACUGCAGAUAUUCGUGGAAUUUGCUGUAAUUAGUUCAAUUAUAUUUUUUUCAAUAGUCUUUGUUUCUCUACGUACAACUAAAUAGGGUUAAAUAUUACCAUUUCUAGGUAGUCAGUCUGAUGAUUCACUUUAUUCAAGACACUGCAGUUCAUCGACGUCACUUGUGCUUACUGCCUUCUUUGCUAUCAAUCUUAUUCUACCAUCUGUUAUUGCAAGAGAUGGACUUGACUCUUGAGGCUCAUCGCACUAGCAUGGGAAGUGCCCGACAUGUUUGAACAAGUUAUUGGCAGCUUCCUUAAUGUGCUCUAUCUGCACACACAUCUAAAUUGAUUGGGUCAGUAUAUUUCAAAUAUCGAAUGAUUAUGACGAAGAAAAAGGACCGAUGAACUUCUUGAUUGGGAUGAAAAAUCUAUUAGGAAGUGCUUCUUUCUUAAUAUAUUUUAUGUGGUAGCAGAGAUAUUUUCUUCUUGCGUUUUAACUAUAACUUGGGGAAGCACAUUGAAGGAGCUUUAGGAGUUUUCGAGGAUAUCACUAACAUUGAAGAUUACUUUGAAGCUGUUGAAUUGAGGUGAGCAGACCGUCAUGAAAGGUUCCUUAAGGCUGAAAUGAUAAGACAAGUUAUAUAUGGAAAAAAAUUAAUCUACGACAUAAUAAUUUCUCUGUUAGAGAUCAUGAUACUAAGAUUUAACAUCUGACCCUACUAAGUAAAAGUUAUCACUUGAAAUAUUUUAUGAUUGGUAAGAAUAAGACGCCAAUCUAAUAGUAUCCAAAAAAUUUCCAAGUCCGGUAAUUGAGAAGCAAUAGCCAAACGGUCCUCUCUGUUAUGUAAGACAUCAUUGUUCUUCCUGAUUUUACAGCAACAAACUUACAAAAGAAAAGACAUCUGAUGUUGUUUUUCAGUUUUUGGUUUUCCAUGCAUGAGGAUUUUGCCAUCAUAGUUCAAUUUUGGCUAUGUCUAUAUAAGCUUCUGCUGGAGUUGCUAUGUUUUAUUUCAAAAUUGAAAUUUUAAGAUACAUAAUUCCAACAAAAUCAUGUGCAGCUAUUGUUGUGGUUGCAGGGCCACUGUGAUCAAUUUGAAGAACAUUUGUGUCUUACCUUUAUCUGGAGAAACAUUUUAAGUGCAAAAAGAAAUUUGUGUAAUACACAAACGCAGAUGCUUUUGUUUUCCCACGUAUAUGCAAUAUUAUUAUCUCCUCCAAUGCAAUGACAUUGUAUCACUUUUAACCUACUAUUGUAAAAAUUAUGUCUUUUAUAUAUUACACCAUUUUUUCUGAAAUGAUGAUCCUUUGAUGUAAGCACGACUCAUGCUCUAUCUAGUAAUAAUAUAUGUGCACAGCACAUAAAGUUGGAAGCGUAAAUUGAGGACUACACCAAAAACAUAACUACAUAUAUAAUUAAUUAU
rnacentral:lncRNA from 1 species